CAGGUCCAACUGAUACCAGCGGAGACGCAACGAUGGUGAAACUGGCCCAGAUCAACGGACAAGAGGUGCUGACCUCUAAGAGCAGGAAGGGAGGUUUUCAGGACAGUCCUCUGACUGUCAGAAGUCGAGAACAUGAUCUGCUUGUUUUGAAAACCCAGAAAAGGAGAGCAGAGUUCUUUAAUCAGG